UACGGGAGGCAGCAGUAGGGAAUCUUCCGCAAUGGACGAAAGUCUGACGGAGCAACGCCGCGUGAACGAUGAAGGCUUUCGGGUCGUAAAGCUCUGUUGUUAGGGAAGAACAAGUACCGGAGUAACUGCCGGUACCUUGACGGUACCUAACCAGAAAGCCACGGCUAACUACGUGCCAGCAGCCGCGGUAAUACGUAGGUGGCAAGCGUUGUCCGGAAUUAUUGGGCGUAAAGCGCGCGCAGGCGGUCCUUUUAAGUCUGAUGUGAAAGCCCACGGCUCAACCGUGGAGGGUCAUUGGAAACUGGGGACUUGAGUGCAGAAGAGGAGAGUGGAAUUCCACGUGUAGCGGUGAAAUGCGUAGAGAUGUGGAGGAACACCAGUGGCGAAGGCGACUCUCUGGUCUGUAACUGACGCUGAGGCGCGAAAGCGUGGGAGCGAACAGGGAUUAGAUACC
rnacentral:rRNA from 1 species